rnacentral:rRNA from 1 species
UACGGAGAGUGCAAACGUUGUUCGGAUUCACUGGGCGUAAAGGGCACGUAGGCGGCUCGGCAAAUCGGUCGUGGAAUCUCGACGCUUACCGUCGAAACGGCGGCCGAAAAUACCGGGCUCGAGGGCGUGAGGGGUCACUGGAACUCCUGGUGAAGCGGUGAAAUGCGUAGAUAUCAGGAGGAACGCCGGAGGCGAAAGCGAGUGACUGGCGCGUUCCAGACGCUGAGGUGCGAAAGCUAGGGGAGCAAACAGG